AUGCCCGCGCCGCCGCGACGGUGGGCGGAGCUCCCGUCCGAGCUGCUCGCCGUCUUCUCCGGCCGCCUGCACGAUCCCACCGACUUUGUCCGCUUCCACGCUGUGUGCACCUCGUGGCGGGAGUCGCUGCCCCAGACGGCAUCGCUCCGCCCUGUCCUCUUCCCCUGGCUCGUUGCCCCGCCCUCCAGUCGCGGUUUCUCAGUCGUCAGGCUCCACUGCGUCUUCUCCAAGACAAGCUACCAUGCAGAGGUGUCCUCGAGCUUCUACAAGCUCGGGUUGGUGACGCGAGACGAUGGCACGGCUUACUGGUUCUUCAGCACACGGGACGGGCCUAAGCUCAUCCACCCUCUCACCGGAGAUACCACCCCUCUGCCGCCUUUCCCAUUCGGUGAUAAGCGGAAGAUGGUUGACAAGUCCCGUGGCAUCGUCUAUGGCGAUGACACCGUCUUCCUCUACAACUUCUCCAAAUCUGACAACAACCACACCAACCUCCGAGCGGCUAUUCUUAGUCCCGGCGAUACCACAUGGACAGUCGUCGAGAGAGGGUUCAGGCUGGGGAGGAACAACAUAGUGUUCGAAAACAAUCAUUGCUUCGCCGCGUACCAUGAUGGCAAGAUCUUAGCGUGCGUGGACGGGGACCGUUGCAAUGACAUCUGGCACCUCCUAGCACCCUCGGCAGGUGGCGUCCACACCAGUGUCGUUGAGAAAGAGGUGGGCACACACAAUAGACGAAUGGUGCGGUGGGCAAGGAGGGACGGCCUGAGUUUCGCCGACUGUGUCAUGUUUCUAGGGUUCCCAAGUAGCUUCACGGUAGAUGCCGCGAGGUUCCAUGGCGUGGACGACGACAUGAUCGGGGCGUUUGUUUACUUCUUCCAACGGUGUUCCGGCCAGGCGACGCUCGGCAUGUUCAGGCACAACCUUUUCGACGGCAAAACCAAGUUCAUUGAGUACCUGCCGUCCAAAUGGAGCGAUCGUAAAAACGAAGCGGGCAUGUUGCCGAGGGCGGGCUCCUCCGGCGGCAAGGUGCUCCGGCAGUCCGGCGUGAAGGUGCUCCGGCGUGCCCCUGCUGAUCUCCUCCUCGUGCAAAAACAACAUCAGCAACCAGGAGUGGCCAGAGCACGUAUCUGGUUGCGUGUGGUGUCCACGCUCCCUUCGCGACCAUAUCCACAUAAGGGUCUCAUUGUCAAACCAGUCGGUGUGAGGGCCUUGGUGGUUCUUGGAGAAGACAUAAAGGUGCCACGCCAGCCAAGCAGCAUCAUUGGAUGUCUUUGCAGGCAUUAUUACCCUGGCCUGGUCCCCAUAGGAGACGGCGAGGAGGAGCUUGCUUGGUCUUGGGAGCAUUGGAAACGCGCUCCGGAUACCGAAGACAAGUGGGGCAGGGUAUACAGCAGUGCUGCUGAGCGGGUGGUCAACAAUUUUUGGGCGGUUCCCUCGUGGUGCAACAACAAGAUUACUUGCUACCAGCAAAUCAUAUCCAGGUGGAUAGACCCGGAGUGGUGGGCUGAGCAUAGAAUGGCUAAGGACCGGCAUGCCUUGAUGGGUGGUAUGGUACACCUUCAAGGCAACCUCAACCUCCACGCUUACGUGCAGAAGAAGAAUAGGGAGAGAGGUGAGGGCGAAGAGCCGCCCAAUACAUUCACGGGAUUAUGUCUCUCUCGCAAGUCAAAGAAACCAGAAGGGGGUGGGUCAACCGAGGUGCUGGCUUGA
rnacentral:rRNA from 1 species